rnacentral:rRNA from 1 species
UACGAAGGGGGCUAGCGUUGCUCGGAAUUACUGGGCGUAAAGCGCACGUAGGCGGUCUUUUAAGUCGGGGGUGAAAUCCUGGAGCUCAACUCCAGAACUGCCUUCGAUACUGGAAGACUCGAGUCCGGGAGAGGUGAGUGGAACUGCGAGUGUAGAGGUGAAAUUCGUAGAUAUUCGCAAGAACACCAGUGGCGAAGGCGGCUCACUGGCCCGGUACUGACGCUGAGGUGCGAAAGCAUGGGGAGCGAACAGG